UAGGGAAUCUUCGGCAAUGGACGAAAGUCUGACUGAGCAACGCCGCGUGAGUGAAGAAGGAUUUCGGAUCGUAAAACUCUGUUGUUAGAGAAGAACAAGGACGUUAGUAACUGAACGUCCCCUGACGGUAUCUAACCAGAUAGCCACGGCUAACUACGUGCCAGCAGCCGCGGUAAUACGUAGGUGGUAAGCGUUGUCCGGAUUUAUUGGGCGUAAAGCGAGCGCGGGCGGUUUCUUAAGUCUGAUGUGAAAGCCCCCGGCUCAACCGGGGAGGGUCCUUGGAAACUGGGAGGCUUGAGUGCAGAAGAGGAGAGUGGAAUUCCAUGUGUAGCGGUGAAAUUCGUAGAUAUAUGGAGCAACACCAGUGGCGAAGGCGGCUCUCUGAUCUGUAACUGACACUGAGGCUCGAAAGCGUGGGGAGCAAACAGG
rnacentral:rRNA from 1 species